AUUGAACGCUGGCGGCAUGCCUUACACAUGCAAGUCGAACGGUAACGCGGGGCAACCUGGCGACGAGUGGCGAACGGGUGAGUAACGCAUCGGAACGUGCCCAGUAGUGGGGGAUAGCCCGGCGAAAGCCGGAUUAAUACCGCAUACGACCUAAGGGUGAAAGCGGGGGACCGUAAGGCCUCGCGCUAUUGGAGCGGCCGAUGUCAGAGUAGGUAGUUGGUGGGGUAAAGGCCUACCAAGCCGACGAUCUGUAGCUGGUCUGAGAGGACGACCAGCCACACUGGGACUGAGACACGGCCCAGACUCCUACGGGAGGCAGCAGUGGGGAAUUUUGGACAAUGGGCGCAAGCCUGAUCCAGCCAUGCCGCGUGCGGGAAGAAGGCCUUCGGGUUGUAAACCGCUUUUGUCAGGGAAGAAACGCUCUGGGCUAAUACCCCGGGGUAAUGACGGUACCUGAAGAAUAAGCACCGGCUAACUACGUGCCAGCAGCCGCGGUAAGAC
rnacentral:rRNA from 1 species